rnacentral:tRNA from 1 species
AGAGAUGUGGCUCAAUGGUAGAACACAUCUUUGCAUCAAGAAGGUCCCAGGAGGUCUCAGGUUCAAGCCCUGGCAUCUCUA